rnacentral:rRNA from 1 species
AGAGUUUGAUCCUGGCUCAGGACGAACGCUGGCGGCGCGCCUAACACAUGCAAGUCGAACGAGCGAGAGAGAGCUUGCUUUCUCGAGCGAGUGGCGAACGGGUGAGUAACGCGUGAGGAACCUGCCUCAAAGAGGGGGACAACAGUUGGAAACGACUGCUAAUACCGCAUAAGCCCACGGCUCGGCAUCGAGCAGAGGGAAAAGGAGCAAUCCGCUUUGAGAUGGCCUCGCGUCCGAUUAGCUAGUUGGUGAGGUAACGGCCCACCAAGGCGACGAUCGGUAGCCGGACUGAGAGGUUGAACGGCCACAUUGGGACUGAGACACGGCCCAGACUCCUACGGGAGGCAGCAGUGGGGAAUAUUGCACAAUGGGGGAAACCCUGAUGCAGCGACGCCGCGUGGAGGAAGAAGGUCUUCGGAUUGUAAACUCCUGUUGUUGAGGAAGAUAAUGACGGUACUCAACAAGGAAGUGACGGCUAACUACGUGCCAGCAGCCGCGGUAAAACGUAGGUCACAAGCGUUGUCCGGAAUUACUGGGUGUAAAGGGAGCGCAGGCGGGAAGACAAGUUGGAAGUGAAAUCCAUGGGCUCAACCCAUGAACUGCUUUCAAAACUGUUUUUCUUGAGUAGUGCAGAGGUAGGCGGAAUUCCCGGUGUAGCGGUGGAAUGCGUAGAUAUCGGGAGGAACACCAGUGGCGAAGGCGGCCUACUGGGCACCAACUGACGCUGAGGCUCGAAAGUGUGGGUAGCAAACAGGAUUAGAUACCCUGGUAGUCCACACCGUAAACGAUGAUUACUAGGUGUUGGAGGAUUGACCCCUUCAGUGCCGCAGUUAACACAAUAAGUAAUCCACCUGGGGAGUACGACCGCAAGGUUG